GUGCACCGGGGCGGCAGGGAGGGCACGGCGACCUUCAAGUGGUCGCGGGAGAACGGCUCCGUGGUCCUGCCCGUGCGGGGCGUG
rnacentral:tRNA from 1 species